rnacentral:rRNA from 1 species
GACGAACGCUGGCGGCGUGCUUAACACAUGCAAGUCGAACGGAAAGGCCUCUUUCGGGGGGUACUCGAGUGGCGAACGGGUGAGUAACACGUGAGUAACCUGCCCUUGACUUUGGGAUAACUUCAGGAAACUGGGGCUAAUACCGGAUAGGAGCUCCUGCUGCAUGGUGGGGGUUGGAAAGUUUCGGCGGUUGGGGAUGGACUCGCGGCUUAUCAGCUUGUUGGUGGGGUAGUGGCUUACCAAGGCUCUGACGGGUAGCCGGCCUGAGAGGGUGACCGGCCACAUUGGGACUGAGAGACGGCCCAGACGCCUACGGGAGGCAGCAGUGGGGAAUAUUGCACAAUGGGUGGAAGCCUGAUGCAGCAACGCCGUGUGCGGGAUGACGGCCUUCGGGUUGUAAACCGCUUUCGCUCAUGACGAAGCUUUGUGUGACGGUAGUGGGUAAAGAAGCACCGGCUAACUACGUG